rnacentral:tRNA from 1 species
GUCAGAGUGGCUAACUAGUAGAGCACAGGACUUGGAUACCUGAGGCUCCUGGUUUGAUCCCUGGCCCUACCU